rnacentral:rRNA from 1 species
UAUCUCUGUAGAGUCUGCAUAUCAAUAAGCGGAGGAAAAGAAACUAACUAGGAUUCCCUCAGUAACGGCGAGUGAAGCGGGAAGAGCUCAAAUUUGAAAUCUUCAAGGUUCUACCUUGACGAAUUGUAGUUUAAAGAAGUGUUUUCUGUUGGAGUUUUGGUAAAAGUUCUUUGGAAUAGGACAUCAUAGAGGGUGAGAAUCCCGUAUUUGACCAUUAUUUCCAGCUUUGCGAUACACUUUCAAAGAGUCGGAUUGUUUGGGAAUGCAGUCCAAAAUGGGUGGUAAAUUUCAUCUAAAGCUAAAUAUUGGCGAGAGACCGAUAGCGAACAAGUACCGUGAGGGAAAGAUGAAAAGAACUUUGAAAAGAGAGUUAAACAGUACGUGAAAUUGUCAAAAGGGAAGCGUUUGACACCAGUGUUGUUUUCUCGAAAAUCAAUUAAAAAAGGCAGGAUUUUGUGUUGUAUUGACUUUAUCAGCUUUCUGCACUCUUUUCUUGUCUUUUUUAAUGCACUUUUCGUUUAACAAGUCAACAUCAAUUUCUUUUGUUGUAAAAGGGUCAUUGGAAGGUGGCUUUCUUUUCGGAGAAAGUGUUUAUAGCCUUUGGCCUCUGCAAUCGGAGAGAUUGAGGUCUGCAGCGUAGAUCCUUCGGGGUUAGAUACAUUUGUGCUAAGUUAUAGCCUUUCAUAGACAACUUGUUGACUAUGAUCAGUCAUGUAGCUUACUCGCUUAUGCUAUUUUACCUACGCUUAGGAUGUUGACGAUCAGCUGAGCGCG